UGACGUCAUCACGGUGAUGCUUUGUCAACAUUUGGAAAAAAAUGCAAUGGCGUACCAUUUUUUCCCAAAGUAGACAAAGAAAUACCGAGACAACGUUUU
rnacentral:pre_miRNA from 13 species